AACAAACUUGUAUGUUGUCAUUUUGUUUUUAAAAGCUAUUGAACACUCGUGAGUUUGUAUAAAAGUUUUUAUCUUGUAAAACCCAUCACUAUUAUCUAUAACAUCAUAUAUUUUAAAAGGGCACCUAUCUUCUCUACACCUAACCCUAGUCAUCCCCUUUUCAUUCCUAAGAUAGGCAAUAUUAAUCCUCUUAUGUAUUGCAUACUUUGCUAAAGCAAUCUUGAAUUCUAUUGGUUCAUUAGACACCAUACCAAGCUUUGAAUGUGGGAUUAGGUUAGUAGGAUCAAAACAUAUAUGUAGGCUUCUUCUACAGACUACUUCACCAUCUAAAUCACUUUCAUCAGACCCCAAAUAUGAUGAAUCAACGUAAUAUUUUCCUCCACCUGAUUCAUUUGAUACCUCGUCAUUUUUUCUCUCCUUUCAUUGCCUUCACCUACCUUUACACCCUCACUAUUCACC
rnacentral:lncRNA from 1 species